UACGGAGGGGGCUAGCGUUGUUCGGAAUUACUGGGCGUAAAGGGCUCGUAGGCGGCCAACUAAGUCAGACGUGAAAUCCCUCGGCUUAACCGGGAACUGCGUCUGAUACUGGAUGGCUUGAGUUUGGGAGAGGGAUGCGGGAAUUCCAGGUGUAGCGGUGAAAUGCGUAGAUAUCUGGAGGAAUACCGGUGGCGAAGGCGGCAUCCUGGACCAUAACUGACGCUGAGGCGCGAAAGCUGAGGGAGCAAACGGG
rnacentral:rRNA from 1 species